CUAGAAAGACAGGAAU
rnacentral:tRNA from 2 species